rnacentral:misc_RNA from 1 species
GCACAAUUCAGCUAAGAAAUGCAUGCAAGUAAAGCCAGCUUCCAUCCCCCAUAAGCUGUUUGGUCUUAUACUUGGAAUUCUUGGAGAAAAUACUGAGGUUGUUCUAGCAGAGUGUUCAAGAUCAUUUGGCCCUUGGAUGAUGGCACAUGCUGUAGAGUUGUUGACAGCUGGGAGCACUCAUGCAGAAAUUCUUUUGCAUGAAGAGCAUUCCAAACUUGGAGGAGUUAGCAUAGAAGAGCUGCAUAGACUUGUAUAUGCACAAGUUCUGUCUUCUCAUGCAUUAACGUGGCAAAUUGCGCCAAUAUACUUGACUUCAUGCAUAAAACAAGGGAUUAGAUUAUUGGAGAAUUUGCUGUACAAGCAGCCUGUACAGCAUAGCCAAAUUCUGUUAAAG